UCCGGCUUGACGCCGGCAGUCCCCCGAGAGUCCUCAGCUUUACCUGUUAGUAACACGGGGCAAGGGUUGCGCUCGUUGCGGGACUUAACCCAACAUCUCACGACACGAGCUGACGACAGCCAUGCAGCACCUGUGUACCGGCCCUUGCGGGCGGCAGCAUCUCUGCUAACCUUCCAGUACAUGUCAAACCCAGGUAAGGUUCUUCGCGUUGCAUCGAAUUAAACCACAUGCUCCACCGCUUGUGCGGGCCCCCGUCAAUUUCUUUGAGUUUUAAUCUUGCGACCGUACUCCCCAGGCGGGAUACUUAACGCGUUAGCUUCGCCACUGAAGGGGUCAAUACCUCCAACGGCAAGUAUCCAUCGUUUACGGUGCGGACUAC
rnacentral:misc_RNA from 1 species